ACAGCAAGCUAUUGCUUUUGGCUAAGAUUGAGUGUCAUAUCUGUUUUUAUCAGUUUAAUAUCUGGUAUGUUCUGUAAAUAAAAAUGUUAUAUUAAGUAAAUUUUUAUAACAGAGAGUUAAAAUAGGGGCUUGUUCUAUAGUAUUGAAGUGUUUCCAAGAAUGGAGUUUUUGUUCAAGAAAGAUACCUUUUUU